rnacentral:rRNA from 1 species
AUUGAACGCUGGCGGCAGGCCUAACACAUGCAAGUCGAGCGGAUGAAGGGAGCUUGCUCCUGGAUUCAGCGGCGGACGGGUGUGUAAUGCCUAGGAAUCUGCCUGGUUGUGGUGGAUAACGUCCUCAAACGGGCGCUAAUACCGCCUACGUCCUGAUGGAGAAAGUGGGGGAUCUUCGGACCUCACGCUAUCAGAUGAGCCUAGGUCGGAUUGGCUAGUUGGUGGGGUAAAGGCCUACCAAGGCGACGAUCCGUAACUGGUCUGAGAGGAUGAUCAGUCACACUGGAACUGGGACACGGUCCAGACUCCUAAGGGAGGCAGCAGUGGGGAAUGUUGGACAAUGGGCGAAAGCCUGAUCCAGCCAUGCCGAGUGUGUGAAGAAGGUCUUCGGAUUGUAAAGCACUUUAAGUUGGGAGGAAGGGCAGUAAGUUAAUACCUUGCUGUUUUGACGUUACCAACAGAAUAAGCACCGGCUAACUUCGUG